UGACUGUGCCAAGGCUGAGAUUAUAUUCUCAUGGGCUGAAAUUGUCAUACGCUUAUUCUCUGCUAUGUUCCAUAGCUCCAAAGACUGCAGCCGCAAUUUUAUUUUUUCAAGAAAUAAAAUAAUUAGAAAUAUAUCCACCAUUUGAGAAAGCCACCAUGAUAUUGGGAUGCCUACAUGAUAUAUCAUGUGUAUAAAAUAUCGACACCUUACACUAGAUUCAAACAAAUAUCACAAAGCCUAUUUGUAAACCAUGAAGAAAAGCAUCAUGAUGCCUCCUACCAUAUAUAGUCUCUGGCAAGUCAUUAUAAAAGUUUGCCUAUACCUACCGAGAUUCCUCCUAUCACCAGGAG
rnacentral:misc_RNA from 1 species